rnacentral:rRNA from 1 species
UUCGCAAUGCCCGAAAGGGUGACGAAGCGACGCCGCGUGCGGGAAGAAGGCCUUCGGGUUGUAAACCGCUGUCGGGAGUUAAGAAAUGUAAGGAUGUUAAUAGCAUCUUUGCUUGACUAAGGCUCCGGAGGAAGCCACGGCUAACUCUGUGCCAGCAGCCGCGGUAAUACAGAGGCGGCAAGCGUUGUUCGGAGUUAUUGGGCGUAAAGAGCACGUAGGCGGCUAUGUAAGUCGGUUGUGAAAGCCUUCCGCUCAACGGGAGAACAGCAUCCGAUACUGCAUGGCUUGAGUGCGGGAGGGGAGAGUGGAACUUCUGGUGGAGCGGUGAAAUGCGUAGAUAUCAGAAGGAACGCCGGCGGCGAAAGCGGCUCUCUGGCCCAUAACUGACGCUGAGUGUGCGAAAGCUAGGGGAGCAAACGGGAUUAGAUACCCUGGUAGUCCUAGCCGUAAACGAUGGGCACUAAGUAGAGGGGUUUU